rnacentral:lncRNA from 1 species
UAUCAGCAUGUCCACUGUGAGGCUUGCCUCCACUUUUUCCAGUGCCCACAUUUACCUCUCAGAGUGCAUCAACAAAUGCACCCCAGAGAUUCUUGUCUACCAGAUGCUUUCUGACAUCCCUACAUGAAGGACUGGAGAGUGAAAAGGGCAAGACAAUGACCUGAAAAAGUAAGCAAGACUGUCAGUGUUGAAAGGAGCCAUGUGGACUAUCUAGGACAAAUGCCUCAUGUCACAAAAGAGGGAACGAGGGCUUCUCCAGUCACACUGGGAGGCCGCAGGUGCUCUCUGGCUGCCUCUGACUCCUGGACCAUGCUUGUGAAAAUACCAGGACGGUAAAUUAGUGAAUUCCAAAGUCAGGAUUUUUGUUGGAUCUGGCACAGUCACAGGAAAGUCUGAGUUUUCUCAAGGGCAUCCCUGUCUCACCGAGGGGCACCAAGGACAGACGACCAGAAGCAAAUGGCGCAGUCACCGUCAGAGGAGAGUAAAACUCAUUCUGAAACGGUUCCAAAUGCCCAUGCCUGCUCUGUGGUUUUCAGCAAAGCGGACCUUUCCAAAAGACCUCCAACAGGGACUUCCUGGAUGUGAGAACACUAACCAAUUCUCGUUCCUCU